rnacentral:rRNA from 1 species
UGGGGAAUAUUGGACAAUGGGCGAAAGCCUGAUCCAGCCAUGCCGCGUGUGUGAAGAAGGUCUUCGGAUUGUAAAGCACUUUAAGUUGGGAGGAAGGGCAGUAAGCGAAUACCUUGCUGUUUUGACGUUACCGACAGAAUAAGCACCGGCUAACUCUGUGCCAGCAGCCGCGGUAAUACAGAGGGUGCAAGCGUUAAUCGGAAUUACUGGGCGUAAAGCGAGCGUAGGUGGUUCGUUAAGUUGAAUGUGAAAGCCCCGGGCUCAACCUGGGAACUGCAUCCAAAACUGGCCAGGUAGAGUAGGGCAGAGGGUGGUGGAAUUUACUGUGUAGCGGUGAAAUGCGUAGAUAUAGGAAGGAACACCAGUGGCGAAGGCGACCACCUGGGCUCAUACUGACACUGAGGUGCGAAAGCGUGGGGAGCAAACAGG